GACGAACGCUGGCGGCGUGCUUAACACAUGCAAGUCGAACGCUGAAGCUCAGCUUGCUGGGUGGAUGAGUGGCGAACGGGUGAGUAACACGUGAGUAACCUGCCCUCUUCUUUGGGAUAACGCCCGGAAACGGGUGCUAAUACUGGAUAUUCACUGAUUCUCGCAUGGGGGUGGUGGAAAGGUUUUUUCUGGUGGGGGAUGGGCUCGCGGCCUAUCAGCUUGUUGGUGGGGUGAUGGCCUACCAAGGCUUUGACGGGUAGCCGGCCUGAGAGGGUGACCGGUCACAUUGGGACUGAGAUACGGCCCAGACUCCUACGGGAGGCAGCAGUGGGGAAUAUUGCACAAUGGGCGAAAGCCUGAUGCAGCGACGCCGCGUGAGGGAUGGAGGCCUUCGGGUUGUAAACCUCUUUCGCUCAUGGUCAAGCCGCAGCUUUGGGUUGUGGUGAGGGUAGUGGGUAAAGAAGCGCCGGCUAACUACGUG
rnacentral:rRNA from 1 species